AGAGUUUGAUCCUGGCUCAGGACGAACGCUGGCGGCGUGCCUAAUACAUGCAAGUCGAACGAAGCUUUCUUUCACCGAAUGCUUGCAUUCACCGAAAGAAGCUUAGUGGCGAACGGGUGAGUAACACGUAGGCAACCUGCCCAAAAGAGGGGGAUAACACUUGGAAACAGGUGCUAAUACCGCAUAACCAUGAACACCGCAUGAUGUUCAUGUAAAAGACGGCUUUUACUGUCACUUUUGGAUGGGCCUGCGGCGUAUUAACUUGUUGGUGGGGUAACGGCCUACCAAGGUGAUGAUACGUAGCCGAACUGAGAGGUUGAUCGGCCACAUUGGGACUGAGACACGGCCCAAACUCCUACGGGAGGCAGCAGUAGGGAAUCUUCCACAAUGGACGAAAGUCUGAUGGAGCAACGCCGCGUGAAUGAAGAAGGCCUUCGGGUCGUAAAAUUCUGUUGUCAGAGAAGAACGUGCGUGAGAGUAACUGUUCACGUAUUGACGGUACCUGACCAGAAAGCCACGGCUAACUACGUGCCAGCAGCCGCGGUAAUACGUAGGUGGCGAGCGUUGUCCGGAUUUAUUGGGCGUAAAGGGAACGCAGGCGGUCUUUUAAGUCUGAUGUGAAAGCCUUCGGCUUAACCGAAGUAGUGCAUUGGAAACUGGAAGACUUGAGUGCAGAAGAGGAGAGUGGAACUCCAUGUGUAGCGGUGAAAUGCGUAGAUAUAUGGAAGAACACCAGUGGCGAAAGCGGCUCUCUGGUCUGUAACUGACGCUGAGGUUCGAAAGCGUGGGUAGCAAACAGGAUUAGAUACCCUGGUAGUCCACGCCGUAAACGAUGAGUGCUAAGUGUUGGAGGGUUUCCGCCCUUCAGUGCUGCAGCUAACGCAUUAAGCACUCCGCCUGGGGAGUACGGUCGCAAGACUGAAACUCAAAGGAAUUGACGGGGGCCCGCACAAGCGGUGGAGCAUGUGGUUUAAUUCGAAGCAACGCGAAGAACCUUACCAGGUCUUGACAUCUUCUGACAAUUCCAGAGAUGGAACGUUCCCUUCGGGGACAGAAUGACAGGUGGUGCAUGGUUGUCGUCAGCUCGUGUCGUGAGAUGUUGGGUUAAGUCCCGCAACGAGCGCAACCCUUAUUGUCAGUUGCCAUCAUUAAGUUGGGCACUCUGGCGGGACUGCCGGUGACAAACCGGAGGAGGGUGGGGAUGACGUCAAAUCAUCAUGCCCCUUAUGACCUGGGCUACACACGUGCUACAAUGGACGGUACAACGAGUCGCUAACUCGCGAGGGCAAGCUAAUCUCUUAAAGCCGUUCUCAGUUCGGAUUGCAGGCUGCAACUCGCCUGCAUGAAGUCGGAAUCGCUAGUAAUCGCGAAUCAGCAUGUCGCGGUGAAUACGUUCCCGGGCCUUGUACACACCGCCCGUCACACCAUGAGAGUUUGUAACACCCAAAGUCGGUGGGGUAACCUUUUGGAGCCAGCCGCCUAAGGUGGGACAGAUGAUUGGGGUGAAGUCGUAACAAGGUA
rnacentral:rRNA from 1 species